UACGUAGGUGGCGAGCGUUGUCCGGAUUUACUGGGCGUAAAGGGAGCGUAGGCGGGCUUUUAAGUGAGAUGUGAAAUACUCGGGCUCAACUCGAGUGCUGUAUUUCAAACUGGAAGUCUAGAGUGCAGGAGAGGAGAAUGGAAUUCCUAGUGUAGCGGUGAAAUGCGUAGAGAUUAGGAAGAACACCAGUGGCGAAGGCGAUUCUCUGGACUGUAACUGACGCUGAGGCUCGAAAGCGUGGGGAGCAAACAGG
rnacentral:rRNA from 1 species